GCCCUUCCUACGGGAGGCAGCAGUGAGGAAUAUUGGUCAAUGGGCGGAAGCCUGAACCAGCCAUGCCGCGUGCGGGAAGAAGGCGCUACGCGUCGUAAACCGCUUUUGUCCGGGGGUAACCGCGGGGACGUGUCCCCGCCUGCAAGUACCGGACGAAUAAGGGUCGGCUAACUCCGUGCCAGCAGCCGCGGUAAUACGGAGGACCCGAGCGUUAUCCGGAUUCAUUGGGUUUAAAGGGUGCGCAGGCGGCCCGGUCAGUCAGCGGUGAAAUGCCCGCGCUUCACGCGGGAGCUGCCGUUGAUACUGCCGGGCUAGAAUCUCAGCGAGGCGGGCGGAAUGCGCGGUGUAGCGGUGAAAUGCAUAGAUAUCGCGCAGAACGCCGAUUGGGGAGCCAGCUCGCCAGCUGGGUAUUGACGCUGAGGCACGAAAGCGUGGGGAUCGAACAGGAUUAGAUACCCUGGUAGUCCACGCCGUAAACGAUGAUGGCUCGCUCUUGGCUGGAAACGGUCAGGGGCCUAGCGAAAGCGUUAAGCCAUCCACCUGGGGAGUACGCCGGCAACGGUGAAACUCAAAGGAAUUGACGGAAGGGC
rnacentral:rRNA from 1 species